UCCGCUUCCCUGCUGAGGUGAUUAGUUUAGCUUGUUUGAGGCAACCAAAGCGGGGGGUGGGAAUAACAGGGUCACUCUUUGGACAGAGCAACCUUGAGGUUAACUCAGAAGCUAACUCGGGUCUGAUUAGACAUUCCCAAUAGAGGGAAGGGUGCGAGGCUAAUUGCCUUUUGAUUUGUGUGAUAGCUGGUGACAGAGGCGUUCUUAUCCCCGGAUCUUGGGGCCCUGGUCUGUGGCCUUCAAGGUCCAGUGAGGCCUCCAAAGGCCCAGGGGGGCCUCCUGCACCUGCCCUGUGCCUGCCCUGCCCUGUAGUGCCGAACUGCGGCACCAAAAAUGUGAACAAUUCUAGCCACCAUGUGCCUCCCCCACACCCAAGUAGGCCUCCCCCAUCCUCGUGGUGGUGGCAGCAAGUGGAGCAGGAGCAACCGCUUGGCCUGCUUGUUCGGCCCAAUGGCCCUUGAAAACUGCGAGGUGCUCCAGUACACCUGAACAGCUGGAUUUAGGACCAGCAAACGGAGACAUCUAACCACCUGAGUGUAUCGGAUCUUGUCAUCAUAACAACAGCUGGUUAUGACCUCUUUAGGACUCUGAUAGGAGAACCAGAAGUAAAUUCCAGACUGGUUUUAAGUCAUUGAAGGUUUAUUGACUCCUCAGCCAGAAUCUGGAAUCUCUCUUAUCGACUUCUGCAUGUGAAAGGAAUAGAAACUGACAUGAAGUCAACUCAGAGGGGCUAUCCAGGGGUCAAUUACUCACCAAUCCCCCAGCAGAGAUCAUCAGCAAUACGAAAGGCUGAGCCUGCAAAGAGUGGGUCUGAGAAAACCCUGUUAAUCUGCAUGAGCAAGUCAACUCCAGCUGACGGAAUGUCUACAGGAAGUGAACAGCAACGACGAGACUGGAAAGUACAGUUGAACCUCAUUGAACUCAGUGGGAACUACUUCUGAAUACUGAUCCAUGAAAUCAGGUUUCACAUUAGCCUUGAGGCACUUAAGCUGAACUAGAACAUUUUGAAAGGAAACCUUGUACGAAAGGUUACCAGUGAGCAAAUGAAGCUUGAAUAGCAUGUGUCACAAAGAAUACAAAGGCAGAGAUAAGUAAAAAUCAGUAAUGCAAUCUCAACACUACAGUAGCUUUAUUUUACUAGCACAUGGGCCAUUCUGGUGCUUUAGGAUGAAAGAGAACUAGACUGAAAUGCUGAGCUUUAGCCAUGCACCAAACCUUUACUACAAUCAGAGAUAGAUCGAAGAACUUCCUUGCUAACCUUGCAGUAUGGGAUUUGCUAAGACUGAGAAAUCUUAGUCUGGGUGUUCAAGGAAAGAAAAUGAGUCUGACCAGAAUAUUCAGCCAGCUAUCCUUGUCUGUAGAAAUUUCAGUCAUAACAUGGAAGAUGAAAAUACUCACACAGGCAUGCAGUAUGAACCACCAUGUGUUUUCUUGGACAUAACUCCCACUGAGUUGAAAGGGACACUCCUAAAUACAAUUAAGUGUACAUAGCAUUGUCAAGACCAUGUGCUAGGGUUUCAUGUUACACAGAGGCUACUGGGCAGGGGUGUAGCUAUAAUUGCGCAAACGGGUUCAAAGAACCCGAGCCGCGCCCAAUCAGGAGCCACCAUUACCGGCCCUGACACGCCCCCCGCGUCUGACAUCAGACACGGGGGCAGGAGUUUAGCUCCCGAGCGGGGGCUGUGCGGCCCCUUCGAGAGCUAAACAAAGGCUGGUGCAAAGGCAGGGAAG